GACAUUUCAACUCCAACAGAUAAAAUGCAAAUCGUGGAUAACGUUCAUUCUUGGCUAGAGUUCGCUCGCUAAACGUUAUAUUGGUUUAUCAUUUUCGUAUUUUUUGUUUACUCUCUUGACAAGCCCCGGGCCUGUACUUACUCCAGCUUUCCUCUCCUGCCUCCCCCCUCCGACUUACCCUGGUAGAGGUGAUGUCCAUCAUAACCUCCUGAAAAGCGGCAGUCUCUUCAGCCUGACGUUGGAUUUGACAGACUACAUCUUGACAACAUCUUGACAACAUCCGGGAACAGAUUACACAAGGUUUGUGAAAGGAAGGAACACAUAGGAGUCAACAA